GAAGGGCAGGAUGAGGGGAGGGGAGAAGCUAUUCAAGGAUUGUUUGAUGGUUUCUUGUAAACAAACAUUUUGGUAGUUUUGCCAAGGUCUCUGUAGCCGGCCUCCUGACAAAAGAAUAACUGUUCUGAGAAAACCAGCAUGAGGCCAUUCAGCACAAUAACACUCUUUUGGAGCCUCAUAUAAAUGUGGCAGAGAGGGUGGGUGUGCACUACAAAUCAAUCUCUGGACUUUGACAGGGUGCUUUAUAAAUUGAGGGGGGAAGAAAAAGUCAGUGGAAACAAUAGUUCUGCAGAGAUCCUCAUGAAUACAAGGUUCCAGGCGAUUCAGCCACGCUGGGUUUGUAGGAAGACAAACAAAACCAUAAGCAGCAACUCUGAGCCCUUGGCAAGGCAGUAGCAAAACACGAGGAGUUCCCUGCUCUGUCAGAAGGCAGCCUUAUUCUGAGUGCAGAGACACACAGGGCCAGUAUGGACUGGGCCACAGUCGGGGAUGAAGAAAGCACGGCAGGGCUUUACACGUGCUCAGAGAUCAGCUGUCAGUGUGCUUCUGGGUUUGAUUUCUGCUAAUAACCUCUUUGCUGGGAACAACUAAAUCAUGUCCAAUUCUGAGAAACACUCAUGUCUGGAGAAUUUACUACUAUUUGAAUUCUUUACUGUCACCAGCAAUGAGCUACCUGAAUUCUCUACUUAAAAGGAAGAUGUUCUUUCGAAGUAAAGCCUCCUUAAGGGAAAGCUUAUUUUGACUUUCAUUUAGUUCUCACCAGCAAGACCAAGGAUCCUUCAUAUUAAAGUAAAUCUAUAGAUAGGAACAAGCAAAACAAGUUGAAAAUGAAAAGCAAAGGCUUUUUGAGGUACUGUAUUUCAUUAACAGGUUCUGAGAGUAAUUGAUCAGCAGCAAUUAUGCACUAAGCUGUCACUAAAUUAUGAAAACAAACCUCAGCUCUACAGAAGUCAGCUAAGCUUUCUAUUUGUAAAACCCCCCACCAUUCUUCUGCUGGCAAUUUCUUCUCAUGGGAAAAAGCCAGAAGGAUCUAUCCAAUGGAUAAUCACACACAGCCAGUGGUGAUCUGGACCACUUUCCCUGGCUUUACACCUAAUUCAAAGCAGCUUUUAACUACUCUGGAUUUAGUUCUGGCUGUAUCUCUGAACAGAUGGGAUAGCAAGAUGAGCAGCAAUUCAAAUUGCAGGUGCUCAGAUGAAACCCAGCUGCAGGUUCCCUCUGAAUCAGGGAUAAAAUGUCUCCCAUUGGAUACCCGUUUUAAAGCUACCCCCAUCCAGCUAAAUUCAAACACAGCCUCAUGGGUUUAAGCUCCCUUUCCAUUAGCCAGCACCCACAGUUUUCACAAUGAAGCGCUGGCAUGUUCCUUCUUGCACUGGAGCUCCUCCACCCUUCCCUAUUCCCACCUGUCAGAGUGCACUUACACAAGGGUGCUGACCCAGACUCCAGGGGAGGCAUUGCAACAACCCUGCCAUUCCUAGCCCGCACCAGCCACCCUUUCAGCUUUAUAGGAAGCACUCCCAACACUGCAGAAUGGUUAAGUAAAUAAAAAACAGCAGUCAGCUAGGCUUGAGACAAAGGGAUCUUCUGAACUCCACUGCCUUCAUCUGCUUCAGAACCCCAUGCUUUGAUAGAAAGGUUAGAGGAAGCAUUAACCCAUUAGAAAUUGAUGAAGUGGAAGAGAGAGGCUUUCUGUACAUCUCGGGCUUCUGCUCCACACUCCACUGUCAGAGACUCUGUUGGGUUUAUUCACUUCUUGUGGCUACACUUCAAAGCUAUAAAUCCCUCUUUUUAUUCAGUGGGCAACUGUAUCAAAGGUUUUAGAUGCAAGGAAAUGAGCUAUUUUGACUGCCCACCUUUGCCUUUCAGUGCUCCAAUGUCUGGCAAUUAUAACUAUGCAGCAUCAGGAAGCAAAAACAACAACAGAAAGAGCCCAGACUUCUCUGAGCAGUUUGGGUGGCCAAGGACAGCACAGUUAUUUUUGAAAGUCUUUGUUUCAGACAACUUCCAGCCACGGCUUGGUUUACAUUGUGAAGUCUCUUAUGCCCGCCUGGAAUUCACAUGCAACUGAUACCAGUAAUUUACAAAAGCUCUUUGACAUAGUUUGAGAUGCAAUGUCAGCCCAUUAGCUUUAUGUAUGAAGCAACAGUAGCAAGAUGGCAACCAGACAAGAACCAGAGUAAGAAAACCAUUUGAGUUGAAUCUUGGCUCCAACAAAGCAUGAUUCUCAUCAACUUCAACAGGGCCAGAAUUUAACUGCAAGCCACUCUUGGAAGUGAGACAAGAGAGAGUAUGUGGUAAAGGAACGUAGGAGGAGUGGAAUGUAAGGGGGGAAGGAAGCAUCCACUCGAGGAUUUUCUAACAACUGCAUUGAUCAGAGGAUGCUUUCAGAGCUAUUGAAAAGUCACACAAGGCCUACUAAACCCACUUUUAUUGUUGAGAGCUCUCAUGGGGUCUUUACGAUUCAGUGGCAAUUAGGGCAAAAGAAAAUCCUGGACAUCAAAAAACCCCACUCUUCUCAUUAUAUGAUGACAAUUGUUUUGUUGUAAUCGUUUUCUUCACUGGUUCUACAAGCCUUACUCUGCAGCUCUGGGAAAGCUGACUAAGUCAAGCCGCGCAGAACAAAGGAGAAGUUUUGUGCAGUGCAGUGACUGGAGUGACCUACAGAUGGGUAAGUGACAGCAAAGCUGGAGCAGGAAUGCAGAUCAGGAACAUAUGCAAGAGCAUGUCUGCACUUGGUCUAAUGCACUGCUGAGAAAUGAGGCAAUUUUGUCUGAAGACAAUUGUACUUCCAGAACAUGAAAGCAAAGAAAGGGUUCAUUGUGUAGCUUUGGAAAUGAAGUUGUUUCAUGAAAAAAGAUGAGCUCUAAUAAUAGUAAAAGUGGCAGAGACCCAGUCUGAAACAACUCCCAGAUCCUACUAUAAACAAGAUUUUCAUUUUGAAUUCAGGCAUCUUCCAUUUUUAAUAUUUCACUGCUGCUGCAUCAUCUACUUUCUUCUCCAUAUAACUCUAUAUCCAAGAAAUCCCCCAGCCAGUGCUGGGGUAGAGUCUGAAAUCACAGGUAUGGCAGCAGUGCUGAAUAGGGCUGGUUGUGGCUACCCCUGACAGGCCAUGAGAUUUGUCUCAAGCAACAACUGCUUUUCUGGAAUGAAAAAUUAACAGGACACCCCAUGUACAUCUAAAAAAAUCUAAGGAGCACAGAGUAGUUCCCAAGCUAUGCUCCCCUCACCAAUUAAAACAUAAAAGCACACCACUGCGCACACUUGUCCAAGGCCUCCCUCUCACGAGGCCUGAAGCCCAUUUCAUUCCUGCAUGGCUGCCACCUUGGCACUCAAAGCAGACUGCAAGAAGCUCUGUAGGAUUUCUGUAAGAUGGAGCACAGUACUGCUGCCUGCUUGCUGAAGGAAAAGGCCUGUUGUGUCAACAAAAGCUUUAUGAGUUGAGAUUCACACUCUCUCCAGUGGCUUUUGCCACACACACACUGUUAAAGCCCUAGGUUGAAAUAGAGCUGAUUUUGCCCACCUCCUUGAGUAACAGCAGGCAAAAAGCAGAACAGCUCAUGUACCAAGAGACCCUGUGCAGCUUCCUCUAGCCACGGGAAAAGCUGAGCAGAACGGUUCUGAAACCAACCAGAGACAUUCCAGGGGAAAGAUCCCCACCCUUGAUUUUCAGCCAGCCCUACCAGGUGGUGUCUGGUAAAUAUUUUUUCAGCCCCUGCAUACAAACCCCCAAACAUCCAACUCCCAAGGAAGAGCUUGUAGUAACUCCUCUUUCUCAUCUAGUCAUUAGAUGGAUGUGGAUAUCAAAUCUUACACAGAUUUUAAGUUGUUUUCUUUUUUUAAAGCAGUACAUUCAGUUUUGAGACGUGCUUAUAGAGUUUAUAGAGAGGUCUCAGGCGAACAAGACUUAGGCUUCUGAAUAUUGGUCCUAAUUAAAAAGAACAAAACAAGACCAAAGAAACCAAACAAAGAAACCUGAAGAAAUCCUUUGGCUUUUACUCUCCCAGAGGAGAAAGAAAGAAUUAACAGCAUCUAUUUUUAGGCAUCACCCUGUUGGUGCCUGGGUGAGCAAGCUACUCACCCUCUGCAGGCAGUGUGAGUGAGACAGGCUGCUGCAGAGCCUGGAGGAAGUGCUCCAAGCUCUUUGGGGGAGAGCUUUUCCCUCUCCUUGUGCUCUAGCUCACAGCGGCCUGGGGAGGCUCCCAGAGGCCUUCCAGUGCCCGGGACACACAGGUGUCAGAACUAAAUAAGCCAGAGGAAGGAAUACUUACUUGUGGAGUUAUCAUUGUAAUCCCACGCCUCGACAAGCAGUGUGUAGGAUCUCUGCAAAAGAGAAAUAAGAGUUAGUUUCAAAGCCACACAUGACUAAGGGAAAGAAAAAAACCUGGCAACAAUUUUAAUUAAAAAGAAAAAUUCUGGUCUCUACCCCAAAGCAGAUACUUGAACACAGAAAUAGGUAAAAGAUUAUGCUUGAGACAAACAUGAUCUUCUUGAAACCCAGUAAGCUACCUUAUCCAGUCUGACUUAGAAGACCUUUUACCUUGGAUAGCUCAUCUUUGUCAUCAUUAAAGCAUCUUAUGUACUUAACCAGGAAGUGCAGCCUUUGACACUGCACUGCAGCCGAAAUACAGCAUGUGGGACAACUGCACAUGGAGGACAGGAAGCACCAGGAUAGCACAGCAGCAUCAAAAACCCAGACCAAACCCCCACUCUCCAAAACUACUUCAAAAGAAUUCUAGUUACAGAAAAAUAGUGUGGAUGUCCCUUCCCCCAGCCCUCCUGAAAGCAAGGAGUGUUGCUGAGAUUACUGUGCCCUGCCUUGACAGCGCAAUCUCCAGGGACUUUGCUUUUCAGCACCCCCUUUGAAAGCUUUGUCUGCACGAGGGCCAUCGCAGCUCCCACAAGUAUCAGGUAACGAGGGAAGCACUGAUGGAUAUGGAAGGGGGUGGGGUGAGAGAGAAGCACUGUAAAACAAAGGCUGAGAAAGCCUCCUCGGAGAAGCCGGGAAAGGGAAGCCCGCUCUCCACCCGUGUCCCUUCUACAGAUGCUCCAAGCUGCCAAUGAGCUCUGGAGCACUCCAGCAAUAAUAAUCAUAAGGACAAACUGACUGAAGUGACUCCAUGGGCUGGAAAGAUGCCAGCUAUUACAUCUAAGCCACCUUUAUCUUCAAUCCUAACUUGAGAACAAGACCCAUUAAAACAUCUCCUCCUCCAGCUCUACCCCGAGAUAUUAUUAUCCAGGCUAUAUCUUUCAAAGUUGCCAUUGAGCCAGCCAAACUUACACAAUGAUUAAAAACCAAAACAAAACACCUCCUCUCCAGAAGGAACGACGGGGGGCGAGAGAGCUGAGGAAAAAUAAGCAAAAUAUAUGACUUGAAAAGUAAAAAAAAAAAACAACAAACCUACAGAUAAGGCAAUAAAUGUAACAUCUUUCUGGAGAGCAGAACAAUAACACUACAAAUAAAAAUUCCGUGAAGAGUUCUGAUGCUUUGCCAUAGAAACUGUGCAUUGCAAGGCUUAUUUCUCCUUAACUGUGUGCAUGUUCAGUCACAGGCUGUUCAUCUGUGGUCUGCAGUGCCUCUCUGUAACAGAGACCAAAAUACAGUUCCCAGAGUGAGCUGAUACAAGGUGCACGGGAGUAAGGUAGAACUCAGACUUCUGAAGAGGAGGGGAAACAAGAAAGGAGGGAAAAAAAAGAAAAAAAGAGAACAAGAGUUGGAGCAGACUGCUUUCUCACGGCUGGACACAGCAUGAGGCUCUGAAUGAAAACCCAGUUUGUGAUGGACACCGGCUCGCUGUAUAGCCUAAAUAUGUUUCAUAUUCAAACCAGGAUUCCAUUCCGUUCCUGAUAACUGUGGGAAAAUGCUUCCAAAAGUAAGCAAAGCUGGGCAAGCCAAGACAUGCACCCAAACUUCUACGCAGAGGCUCCACUGGCCUGAACCAUUUUUGGUUAAUAUUUCAUGAAAAGUUAUAUGUUACUUGUUUCUAUUCUAGACCAAAUCUGACAACCUGAAAGAAACUCUGAAAAUCAAAUAAACCAAAAUGAAAUGCAACUCGAUCAUCUAACACCACUUAAAACAGAUUUAAGAAGUCCUUGCACAAGUCAGUGGUGAAAAAAAAAGAAAGAACCAAAACAAACAAACAAAACCAGAAUAGAAGUCCCGAGCCAUAUUACAGAUGCAGAUUGCACUAUCUUGGGUGCUUCCUCAGUGGUUUAAUUACCAACAUUAAGCAGUACAAGCUCAACAUGUUACUGCAAGCUUGACAAAAAAUGUUAUGAUAUAGAGAAUGAAUUAUGACAACUAGCACUACUUCCAAUAAAGUUAAGGAUGUUUUCCUUUCGGCCUUGCAUAAUUGUUUUGGAAGAUAUUUUGUCUAAACUCAUAGCAACAGUUCCCUGCUGGUUCUCAGGACUGUUUACCAACACACCUAGCCCUUAAGGAAAGGAAAGGCUGAAUCCUAGCUGUGAGUGCUACUGUUGCUAGAUACUUGUGUGACCACUUUCCACUACCACACAGGAGUUUGGUUAAAACAGAGGAGAUGCUUCAGCUGACCUGGAUGGAAACACAAUGCAGGGGAAAAGACCUACCCUGGCAAUUCCCUUGUUUCUAACUGCCCCCUCUCAUUUUGUCUGAAUGUAUUAAAUGAAGAGUGCCUGUCCUGAAAAGGGGUGAUACAAAGAAUGGCAUUUGAUCCUUGGCUCUGUCCCUCAGCAUGGGGAAAAGACCAAAAAAACCCAAGACUUUGUGUUCAGAAUGGGACACUUUUAAACAAAAGCCACACUGACACCCAGAGCCUCACAGCAGUAGCAAACCCCCUUCAACGAUCCAACUAUCACAUACCUCUAGCUAAUUCCCUCAGCCCUCCCAGAAAAGCAGCUCUGUGCAAAGCUGCGCUGUUGAGAUUUUUUAGAAGUGCAUAUCAUCCCCACUCUAUAGAUCAAGGAUUCAGAUAUCUCAGGAAUGACUGCUUACAGUGUGGAGGUUUAAGUUUUCCCAUGCCCAUAGAUGACCUCCGCCCAUCUUUGAAUAAAUAUAUAUAUCCAGACACAAGAACUCCACAUCAUGCACCUUAUUCCAUCAAAGCUAUGUCUAGGCAACAAGGCAGCAGUGAACUCUCCAGAGUCACACCCAAUUAGCCACUGUAAACCUGAGCUUGACCAGAAGGCAGGGAUUCUGGCUUGAGAGGAAAGGUAGCUUGAAAGGAACAGCAAAUCCUUAAACUUUGCAGAUAGUCAUGAGGGCUUUGAAAGGCAGCAUGGCCAAAUUUAAGCAGAAUUUCUGUGAGUGGAGCUAGGAGAGGAUGGAAAUGGUCAAGUUCUCCAAGAAACAAAGCAAGCAUCAGUGUGCAAGAGCUGUUUUCCUCAAUGACAAGACACUGUGUCUUUAUCCCCUGAUAAUACAGCUCAAGAGACUGUGCAAACCUGAAACCCAUCAGAAAUGGUCCCUUUUAAGGAUCUCAAAGAGCAGUGCAAUCUCCUUUCUGGUUAUUUAAAUGAAUCCUGGCAGCUGCAAGUAAACAGGUGUUUAAAGCUCUCUGCUUGAUUGCCCUCUUCCCUGCCUUCACCCAGACAUCCACCCAAAGGAGGUGCCUUUGCGCUCUGCCUUCUGAAGGCACUCUGCGAGUCAGUGGGCCAGAGCAAGAUUAAAACACCCGGCUUCUCGCUGCAGCGCUGCUCCAUUUUCAAAGGGCUCACAACUCGUCCAACUCCUUCCCCUCCUAGCCCUGUGGUUAGAGCGUGCAAGAGCUUUGCUGAGCAUGUGAAACCAUGACUAGACAAAUGCAGUGGGAAGUUUUGCAUUCAGAGUGCCGCUCCUCCUCUGCCAAACAAGGAGAGCAGGUUAAGCCCAGCCGCCCUCUCCUGACGCCCUGCACAGCUGUGAGCAGCAGCCUGAGAACGGCGCUCGCACACACCCUGUCUGCACCCAGGGCGCACGCCGGGGACACUGGCACAGCAGCCAGAGGUGUCCAGCUGUGACGCCUGCACGAAGGAAACUGAGGCACCUUUCAGCGUGCCCAGGGGCCAGGGAGGAGGGCGUCUGAGCAGGGUUAAAGCUAGCCACAAACCCACUUCCUCUGACCAGCACCAGCACUGUCACUCCACGAUGACACUGCGCAGACACAUCACCACACUGUGCCACAGACGGUCCACUUGGACAACUGAACAUUCUUCAAAGGAGUUAAAGGCAACUGGCUCCUCACCCAGAGGAUAUGCAAGUGUACUCCAGAAAAGGAGCAAAGCCACCUAACCCUCUUAACCUUUUGUGAAAUGGAACAUCAUCAGGAAGCUCCUCUUUGGGACAGCCUACGUAAGGACAAGGCAACACCCUAUAGAGCUAGUGAAUACAAACACAGCCCAAGCCGCGGCAAUCUCUCUCAUGCCUCAAUGCCUAUGGCCAAGAGCUCAGCUGAACCCCAGCAGGCAGCCCAGCCAAGAGCCUCAUCAGAAUAUGCCCAAAACAUAGCACGCUGCUCCUUCAGGCUUCAUCCUGAGCAGCUCCUUUGCUGCUCUAAGUGCCAGUAAACCCUGCAGUGCCACAGAAAGGAGACAUGGAAACCAACCGAACCAUGUCAGCAGCCCCAGGAGAGACCUGCCCCCCGUCCUGCCUUGGCAAGGGAAGGCAGCAGCCCAAGUCAAGACCUUGGUGCAUGGCCACCCUCCUGCCAAAGGAUGGAGGACACAAAAGUACCGCUAUCCAAACUAUGCAUACGCUUAAGCGUCCAGUAAACCAGGCUGAUCUCU